GACGAACGCUGGCGGCGUGCCUAAUACAUGCAAGUUGAGCGCUGAAGGUUGGUACUUGUACCAACUGGAUGAGCAGCGAACGGGUGAGUAACGCGUGGGGAAUCUGCCUUUGAGCGGGGGACAACAUUUGGAAACGAAUGCUAAUACCGCAUAAAAACUUUAAACACAAGUUUUAAGUUUGAAAGAUGCAAUUGCAUCACUCAAAGAUGAUCCCGCGUUGUAUUAGCUAGUUGGUGAGGUAAAGGCUCACCAAGGCGAUGAUACAUAGCCGACCUGAGAGGGUGAUCGGCCACAUUGGGACUGAGACACGGCCCAAACUCCUACGGGAGGCAGCAGUAGGGAAUCUUCGGCAAUGGACGAAAGUCUGACCGAGCAACGCCGCGUGAGUGAAGAAGGUUUUCGGAUCGUAAAACUCUGUUGGUAGAGAAGAACGUUGGUGAGAGUGGAAAGCUCAUCAAGGGACGGUAACUACCCAGAAAGGGACGGCUAACUACGG
rnacentral:rRNA from 1 species